rnacentral:rRNA from 1 species
GACGAACGCUGGCGGCGUGCUUAACACAUGCAAGUCGAACGGAAAGGCCCUGCUUUUGUGGGGUGCUCGAGUGGCGAACGGGUGAGUAACCCGUGAGUAACCUGCCCUUGACUUUGGGAUAACUUCAGGAAACUGGGGCUAAUACCGGAUAGGAGCUCCUGCUGCAUGGUGGGGGUUGGAAAGUUUCGGCGGUUGGGGAUGGACUCGCGGCUUAUCAGCUUGUUGGUGGGGUAGUGGCUUACCAAGGCUUUGACGGGUAGCCGGCCUGAGAGGGUGACCGGCCACAUUGGGACUGAGAUGCGGCCCAGACUCCUAUGGUAGGCAGCAGUGGAGAAGAUUGCACAAUGGGCGGAAGCCUGAUGCAGCAACGCCGCGUGCGGGAUGACGGCCUUCGGGUUGUAAACCGCUUUCGCCUGUGACGAAGCGUGAGUGACGGUAAUGGGUAAAGAAGCACCGGCUAACUACGUG